AAAAGAGAGGAACAAAAGUAAACUGCCUUGAGUUGCUGCUUGUACCUCAGUUCCACAGGAUGGCAUCUGCCUCUCAGGACACACACAGACCCCUUGGAGUGCUCUGCAGUAUCUCCUGAUGCCUGGCUUGUCCCGCUCGCUCCUUCUAACAUCGCACUGGUCCUGUGCUGUGCAACUGGCCACUCUGACAGCUUUCAUCAUGCCAGAGUUUAUGGCAACUACUUAUUGGUUCCUGUGAAACAGAUUUCUCUGUUGAUGUUAAAAUGACUUCCUCCAUGUCCACGGUUUCACCUCCACUCCAUAUUGUGGCAUUUCUGGGUGACCAAAUGGCUGACCCUGGUUUGUAGGUGAAUAGUCUGGUCAGAAACCGUAUGCCCAGUUUCAUUAACUAGAGAAAAAAAGCCCCAGCCAGGGGAGGCAAUGAGAGCUUGAAAAUUCGAUCCAUCGUACUAAUUGGUUUGGAAUAUUAGCCUUUAGUUUAGAUUGGAAAUCCAUUUCCUCCUGAAUACAGGCAAUUUGUUGACAGCUCGGGCCAUACAUGUAACCAUGUGAAGCUUGACAUGCCAUCCUCAACCCCGAGCCCACGAACGCUGGCAAACACAUUCAAAAUAGCUACAAGAGCUGGU
ensembl:lncRNA